UUGGAACAGCGGUUAGGAGCUUACACCCACCCGUGUUUACAUACUAUUGUUGCUUUGGCGGGCCGUGGCCUCCACUGCGGGCUCUGCUCGUGUGUGCCCGCCAGAGAACCAAACUCUGAAUGUUAGUGAUGUCUGAGUACUAUCUAAUAGUUAAAACUUUCAACAACGGAUCUCUUGGUUCUGGCAUCGAUGAAGAACGCAGCGAAAUGCGAUAAGUAAUGUGAAUUGCAGAAUUCAGUGAAUCAUCGAAUCUUUGAACGCACAUUGCGCCCUGUGGUAUUCCGCAGGGCAUGCCUGUUCGAGCGUCAUUUAACCACUCACGCCUAGCGUGGUAUUGGGGCACGCGGUCUCCGCGGCCCUCAAAAUGAGUGGCGGCGCCGGUGGGCUCUAAGCGUAGUACAUACUCCCGCUAUAGAGUUCCCCCGGUGGCUCGCCAGAACCCCCAAUUUUUCACAGGUUGACCUCGGAUCAGGUAGGGAUACCCGCUGAACUUAAGCAUAU
rnacentral:rRNA from 1 species